CGGAAGCGUAUUAUAAAACCCCUGACAAUAAAAUACGGGAUAGAAAAGCAAGAAACAAUUUCACAACCAAUCACUUACAUAAACCAACGAAGUUACAAACGAAGGCCUAUAGCCAAAAGUCUACAAAAGACCGGCUCUUAAAAAGGAAUUAUGCUACGACCUACAAGUCGGACACGUUCUCCAAUCUUAUGCCUUCACCUCUGCAACUCCUCAAGGCCAACCAAAGCUAUCUGGCCACUCCGUCCAUCAGGGACCUGAAAUUUUAAUCCCACAAUCGGGAUGAGACGAUAUCUCAGCAAGUUCAACCCCCUAAACCCC
rnacentral:lncRNA from 1 species